rnacentral:rRNA from 1 species
CCAGACUCCUACGGGAGGCAGCAGUGAGGAAUAUUGGUCAAUGGGAGGAAUCCUGAACCAGCCAUGCCGCGUGCAGGACGACGGCUCUACGAGUUGUAAACUGCUUUUGUACCGGGGUAAAAUGCCUUACGAGUAGGGUUUUGAAAGUACGGUACGAAUAAGGAUCGGCUAACUACGUGCCAGCAGCCGCGGUAAUACGUAGGGAGCGAGCGUUAUCCGGAAUUAUUGGGUGUAAAGGGUGCGUAGACGGGAAAACAAGUUAGUUGUGAAAUCCCUCGGCUUAACUGAGGAACUGCAACUAAAACUAUUUUUCUUGAGUGCAGGAGAGGUAAGUGGAAUUCCUAGUGUAGCGGUGAAAUGCGUAGAUAUUAGGAGGAACACCAGUGGCGAAGGCGACUUACUGGACUGUAACUGACGUUGAGGCACGAAAGUGUGGGGAGCAAACAGGAUUAGAUACCCGUGUA